AGGCGAGGCCUGCGGGGCGGGCGCCCGCCCGGGCGGGCACGUGGGGCCCCUUCAUUUUCGGCGUUGGGGCGCCCAGCGCCAGCCCCCACCCCCGCCUCGGACCCGUGGCGGCGGUCGGUGGGGAGAAAGACCAAAACCCACCACGCGCUGCCGUCAAAUUCACGGCUCUGCUCAUGGUUUCUGGGGAGGGCUAGAAACAUGGCCAUAAAGAGAAUGGCGUCUAUUUACAUAAUGCUUUGUCUGCAUUUUGCAACUCUCUUUCGUUUACCCGCAGAACCCCCACCUCCUGCGCUGGUGUCGUUUUAGUCGCUGCCGCCUCGUCAGACAUUUAAGACAAUGGCGUGCAUCUUGGGGGACCGCAUUUACUCCAGCUCUGGGGAGUUCCUGCGGUUUUCCCCGCGCGGCUUACGCUCCCGCUGCUGCCUUUCGGCCCUUUCCCCGCUCGGUGCAGCCACGGCGCCCAAGCUCUCCGGGGGCGGCCCCCAACAGGGCCCGCCAUCUUGGAGGGCCUUUUUUGCCGUGUGUGGAGCCGCGCGUUCCUCCCGGUAAAGAAAGGUCGCUGGGGCCCUUGGUGCGCCAGUUGUGAUUUCUGCCCCUUCUCCUCGGCUGAGCCAGACAGAAAAGGCCGAGUGCGCGGGGUGCUUCAGGAUCCCCCAGGGAAAGCGGCUAACGUGGCGGUCCUUCCCUCCCCCCUCCCUUUCUUCCCCGUGGGGGUGGCCGCCAUGUUUCCUGAACACAAAAUGGCGACACGUGGCCUAUAUUUGUCGCCAACGAGAAAUAGGGGUCGGGCCGAAAGCUCUAGAACGCGGCCGCCCCCCAUCCCCCCGUCCCGCCCGUGAGCCGGGGCCUUCCCCGCGCAGCGAGUGCUCUGACCAGAUUGGGAUGAAACCCCGCAGGCUGGUCCCAGCCUCAGCGGGCGAAUUUUAAUACAUUUCUCAUUAAUUUGAAACGGGGACGCAAAUAACUGUAAAAUCAGAUGAAAUCACUUAGGCCCAGAGAGAUGCAGUGACUAAUUCAAGGUCACACAGUGUCGAGGAUGGAAUCCAGACCUGAUACAGUUAUUGACCUGCGUUAUCUUGCGGAUAUGUGAGUGAAUUCCACACCACCCAUUUUACAGAUGAAGCCACUGAGAUACAGAGCAACUGACUAAAUAGUCACCACCCCACUCCUGGAGCCUCACAUGACUCUUCUCCCAGAGCCGUGCAGUAUGUGACUGUGUGAGGCAUGAGGCGCAGCAGGCCGUGAUACAGACUAAUUGAUGGUGAUCUCAACUUCUGUGACAGCUUCAGUUACCAUCUACGCAUGGAUGAUGACCAAAUCUCUCUCCAGACCAGACUAUCCAGCUGUUCACAUGGACAGCUCCACUGGGAUGUUUUGAAGACUCAGCAAAAUGAAGCCUUCUGCUCUUCCCCUCUUGCUCUUCCUCCAGUGUCCUGUCACAUGUGUUUGCCAGGAUGAACCAACUAACAUACUUGGGAUGAACCAUCUAACAUGCUUGUCUCUCUCCAGGAC